UACAGAGGGUGCGAGCGUUAAUCGGAAUUACUGAGCGUAAAGGGUGCGUAGGUGGUUUUGUAAGUUAGAUGUGAAAUUCCUGGGCUUAACCUGGGGACUGCGUCUGAUACUGCGAAGCUAGAGUACUGUAGAGGGAAGUGGAAUUUCCGGUGUAGCAGUGAAAUGCGUAGAUAUCGGAAGGAACAUCAGUGGCGAAGGCGACUUCCUGGACAGAUACUGACACUGAGGCACGAAAGCGUGGGGAGCAAACAGG
rnacentral:rRNA from 1 species